rnacentral:RNase_P_RNA from 1 species
AUGAGUGGGGGAUCGCUCUUGGUCUUGAGCCAAGGGAGGAAAGUCCGAACUCCACAGGGUGCGAUGCCGCGUAACUGAGGGAUCUUCGGAUUGCCAAGGAUACACGUGGGAGGGAACGCCGCGAGGCGUCUCGACGGAAAGUGCCACAGAGAAGAUACCGCCUAAGAUUUCUUAGGUAAGGGUGAAAAGGUGGGGUAAGAGCCCACCGCUCCGAGAGAAAUCGACGAGGCAGGGUAAACCCCAUCGGGAGCAAGAUCGAAUAGGGAACCUCGAAACGACCCGUUUCAUUGACUGACUUCGGUCAGGCUGGGUUCCGGGUAAGAUCGCUAAGAUAAAUGAUCCUCUCCGUUCUUCGGAAUGCAGACAGAAUUCGGCUUAUAGCUCAUCC